rnacentral:tRNA from 1 species
GAAGGUACAGCUCAGUGGUAGAGCGUGUGCUUAGCAUGCACAAGGUCCUAGGUUCAAUCCCUGUACCUCCA